rnacentral:rRNA from 1 species
AUUGAACGCUGGCGGCAUGCUUUACACAUGCAAGUCGGACGAGUGGCGAACGGGUGAGUUACGCAUCUGCUCGUACCGAGUCAUGGGGACUACCUGUCCGAAAGGACAGCUAAUACCGCAUAAUAUUCGAGCGGCCGAUGUUUGAUUAGCUGGUUGGCGGGGUAAAGGCACACCGAGGCGACGACGAGUAGCGGGUCUGAGAUGAUGAACCGCCACACGGGGACUGAGACACGGACCAGACUCCGACGGGAGGCAGCAGUGGGGAAUUUGGGACAAUGGGCGCAAGCCUGAUCCAGCCAUGCCGCGUGUCUGAAGAAGGCCUUCGGGUUGUAAAGGACUUUUGUCAGGGAAGCGGUACCUGAAGAAUAAGCACCGGCUAACUACGUGCCAGCAGCCGCGGUAAUAC